rnacentral:rRNA from 1 species
GCCCCAGACUCCUACGGGAGGCAGCAGUGGGGAAUAUUGGGCAAUGGGCGCAAGCCUGACCCAGCAACGCCGCGUGAAGGAAGAAGGCUUUCGGGUUGUAAACUUCUUUUCUCAGGGACGAAGCAAGUGACGGUACCUGAGGAAUAAGCCACGGCUAACUACGUGCCAGCAGCCGCGGUAAUACGUAGGUGGCAAGCGUUAUCCGGAUUUACUGGGUGUAAAGGGCGUGUAGGCGGGACUGCAAGUCAGAUGUGAAAACCACGGGCUCAACCCCCGAACUGCAUUUGAAACUGUAGGUCUUGAGUAUCGGAGAGGCAGGCGGAAUUCCUAGUGUAGCGGUGAAAUGCGUAGAUAUUAGGAGGAACACCAGUGGCGAAGGCGGCCUGCUGGACGACAACUGACGGUGAGGCGCGAAAGCGUGGGGAGCAAACAGGAUUAGAUACCCCUGUA